AUAUUAAAAAAACUUUUGAUAUCUAAUACCCAGAUAGUAGAAUCAUAAAUAGAAAAAUUAUAAGGUGUUAUCAUAUAAUUACCUUGUCCAGCAAUAGCAUGCUUCUUUCUCUUAUUCGGUCUAUUUGGAUCCAAGGAGGCAAUGCACUAAGUACAGUUUCUCUUCCAGUGCUCUUGCUUCUUACAGUAGAAGUAUUCUGCCUAA
rnacentral:lncRNA from 1 species